rnacentral:rRNA from 1 species
GCAGUCGCCACGGUAAUACGAGGGGGGCAAGCGUUGUUCGGAAUUAUUGGGCGUAAAGGGUGCGUAGGCGGCUUGACAAGUCUUGUGUGAAAUCUAUGGGCUCAACCCAUAGUCUGCACGGGAAACUGUCGGGCUUGAGAAUGGGAGAGGUGAGUGGAAUUUCCGGUGUAGCGGUGAAAUGCGUAGAUAUCGGAAGGAACACCUGUGGCGAAAGCGGCUCACUGGACCAUUUCUGACGCUGAUGCACGAAAGCUAGGGGAGCAAACAGGAUUAGAUACCCCAGUAGUCCCUGUCUCUUAUAC